CUAGCAUAUCAAUAAGCGGAGGAAAAGAAACCAACAGGGAUUGCCCCAGUAACGGCGAGUGAAGCGGCAACAGCUCAAAUUUGAAAUCUGGCUCCUAGAGUCCGAGUUGUAAUUUGCAGAGGGUGCUUUGGCGUCGGCAGCGGCCUAAGUUCCUUGGAACAGGGCGUCAUAGAGGGUGAGAACCCCGUACGUGGCCGCCCGCCUUCGCCGUGUAAAGCCCCUUCGACGAGUCGAGUUGUUUGGGAAUGCAGCUCUAAAUGGGAGGUAAAUUCCUUCUAAAGCUAAAUACUGGCCAGAGACCGAUAGCGCACAAGUAGAGUGAUCGAAAGAUGAAAAGCACUUUGGAAAGAGAGUCAAACAGCACGUGAAAUUGUUGAAAGGGAAGCGCUUGCAGCCAGACUUGCCCGCGGUUGUUCUUCUUCCGUGGGCAGGCCAGCAUCAGUCUGGGCGGUCGGAUAAAGGCCUCGGGAAUGUAGCUCUCUUCGGGGAGUGUUAUAGCCCGGGGCGCCAUGCGGCCAGCUCGGACUGAGGUCCGCGCAUCUGCUAGGAUGCUGGCGUAAUGGCUGUAAGCGGCCCGUCUUGAAACACGGACCAAGGAGUCUAACAUCUAUGCGAGUGUUUGGGUGUCAAGCCCGGGCGCGCAAUGAAAGUGAACGGAGGUGGGAACCCCUUGGGGCGCACCAUCGACCGAUCCUGAUGUCUUCGGAUGGAUUUGAGUAAGAGCAUAGCUGUUGGGACCCGAAAGAUGGUGAACUAUGCCUGAAUAGGGUGAAGCCAGAGGAAACUCUGGUGGAGGCUCGCAGCGGUUCUGACGUGCAAAUCGAUCGUCAAAUUUGGGCAUAGGGGCGAAAGACUAAUCGAACU
rnacentral:rRNA from 1 species